GAAUAUUGGACAAUGGGGGCAACCCUGAUCCAGCAAUGCCGCGUGAGUGAUGAAGGCCUUAGGGUUGUAAAGCUCUUUUGCCGGGGACGAUGAUGACGGUACCCGGAGAAUAAGCCCCGGCUAACUUCGUGCCAGCAGCCGCGGUAAUACGAAGGGGGCGAGCGUUGUUCGGAAUUACUGGGCGUAAAGGGCGCGUAGGCGGCGACUCAAGUUAGAUGUGAAAGUCCUGGGCUUAACCUGGGGACUGCAUUUGAUACUGGGUUGCUUGAAUUCGGGAGAGGAUAGCGGAAUUCCCAGUGUAGAGGUGAAAUUCGUAGAUAUUGGGAAGAACACCGGUGGCGAAGGCGGCUAUCUGGACCGACAUUGACGCUGAGGCGCGAAAGCGUGGGGAGCAAACAGG
rnacentral:rRNA from 1 species